CGCUGGCGGGGCGGGGCUCCUGAAGGGCGGGGCCUCAUGAGGAGGCGCGCCUCUAGCAGCCCCUGCGCGGCUGCCUCCUGGCUGUGAGCUUUCCCGGCCGUCCUCCCUCCCGUGAUGUACACCCAGUUGCCUCUAAUCCGCUACUGCGAUGAACAUCUUUGUGCCUGUCCCCUUGUGAACCUGGACUCCAGUUUCUCUGGGAUGCAUCCCUGGAAUGGAUUACUGGAUCAUAUUCACUUCUAAUAAACAUUUUCAAUGGAGAUGAUGAAAUCAGUGCAGACAAGGCUGCUUUUAUUUAGAAGAAGGAAUGAAAAGCAUGUUUUUUAAGCUGGUGGAUUGGCAAAUCGAGUCAAAGGUUUUAAAGGAUCUGGCUGCUGCCUGACUGAUUUAAAGAAUAUCAUUUUCUGAUGAAAUAGGGGGAAAAGAAGGUGCUAGGGGGUGAAGAAGUAUGGGAUUUUAUCACCAAAGACCUCAGAGCAACCUGAGUGCCAGAGUUCUGGACUUGGACAGAGUGAAGCAAGAAAGGAAUAGGAGAGAAAACUGAGCUCCUUCAAGAGAUCAACAGG